UUCUCAGGAAGAACAUUCUGUCUACAUGUUACACUAACCAUGAGACAGUGUGUCCUCCCUCAGGC
ncrna:Lottia gigantea (owl limpet) microRNA lgi-mir-1994b precursor